rnacentral:rRNA from 1 species
GUUGGGAACCACUGCCCUAAAGGUACUAGAUUUCAUCUGAUCUUGAAAGCUAAACAGAGUCAGCCAUUGUUAGUACUUGGAUAGGAGACAGCCAAUGAAUGCUAGGUGCUUUAAGCU